UACGUAGGGGCCUAGCGUUGUCCGGAAUUAUUGGGCGUAAAGAGCUCGUAGGCGGUUCGGCAAGUCGGAUGUGAAAUCUCCACGCUCAACGUGGAGGGGCCAUUCGAAACUGCCGUGACUCGAGUCCGGUAGGGGAGUGUGGAAUUCCUGGUGUAGCGGUGAAAUGCGCAGAUAUCAGGAGGAACACCGAUUGCGAAGGCAGCUCGCUGGGACGUAACUGACGCUGAGACGCGAAAGCGUGGGGAGCAAACAGG
rnacentral:rRNA from 1 species